AGACAAAUUUUUACCUGCGAAGAAAAAUGGCGGUGUUGCAAACUGCCCGAGUGUUAUUGUUGUUUUUCCUACCUGUGAUGGUGUGGGGGUCGUGCAACAUCCCAGCCUACUUUCACGGUGACUGGUACAGUCGAGAAUCGGGUACAGACAUCAAAACUCUGGUCAACGCCGACAAGUGGGACAGUAAUGAGGAUGACACACAGCUAGAGUGUGUGGACAUUUUCAUCCACUCCAACCCCGGGCUUCAGCAAGACGGAAACAAUGGACUAAUUUGAACACAUGCUACAUGUGUGUCGAUGUCUUGUGGAGAACUCCAAACAUUCUACAAUAUAGACAAGAGGACUGUAUAACAGCGCGGUCUGGGAGCCAGAUUUCGCUGAACGAUUCCUGUAAGUCGAUGAACCCUUGGUACGGGCUUCCCAGCAUUGAUGUCACUUUCACCAUGUUCAAACAAUCCCUAGAGAAGAUUAACUGUGUAACAACAUUUGAGGGGGUGUAUCAGUUUUCCUAUGAAGUGGAUACCGGUGGUGGAGGUAUCUGUAACCACCCAGACAGCCAGAUCAAAGCUUGCCAAGAACCUGGAUCUCAAUAUGUCGACAACGAGGUGUUUGUCAUGACGUAUCGGAAGUGCCUUGAUGUGUCGACAUCAAAAAAUGAACAGAUUCGGUACCAGUGUAUGGGUUCGUGGUUCGCGGUGAGGAGUGGAAUUGGCUACACCUAUGCUGCUGUUGCUGACACCGUGGAACAGGAUACCAGAGAAAAAUUCAAGUGCAUGAUGACAUUGAAGAACCAGAAAGAUGCCAACAAUCAGAUCCGGUGGGUCAUGUCUCGUUUCCCAGAUUGCACAAGUUUGAGUGGCGUUUACAGGGGUCCACUCAAAUUAGUUUUAACCAGAAUUGCUCCUCCCACCCAAUAUAUGAUUCCCCGAUGUAACCUGCCGAGAGACAUUGCUGGGAAGUGGUUCACCCAGGGACCAGAGUUCAAGUCCAAUGUGGCUGUGAAUGAAACACACAUCCAUUUCAACACUGGGCUGAAUGAGUUUGAGUUUCAGGAUGCUUUUUACUCCUGCCAGCAAACUUUAGGAACUCGCUACUUGAUGACAAAAGUGUUGGUUGGAAAAUGUGAAGUGGACUUUGUGUGUAUGGAUAUUGUGCCAAGACAUCACAGCAUUGUCAGAUACCGCAUAGGUAAACCAGCUCGCCGUCUCUCGGACAAAGAAUUACAGGACGCCAAUUACCUGGAAACCGUGUUCCGUGACGCCUGCAGUUGGAUGUCCUUCACCUUCAACCGAGACAUCAUAGACUGGAAAUAUGAAGUGCUUAUUCAAAACCCCCCUACUCCCUACCCAUGUCCCGUGGGAGGCCGUUACAACUUUGUGCAGCAUGCUGAUAAGGAGAACGAGAAAUACCAGACCAGAAUCCGUGGCGUGACCCAGAAACCUCGAGUACAGGUGGACUGUCGUAUUGUGGUGUCGGAGAUGAAGUCAUGCAGUAACGAUCUGACCAAGAUCUUUGUGGACGCUGAGUACUGUGAAACUGUGGACUACAGGGGAAGACCUAUCGGAGAAUAUGAUGUGUCUGACCACGAGCUGACCUGUGUUGGCUUCUGGAUGGAGGACUACAAGUCGUACCUUGUCACAUGGGAUGAAGAGGACGCCAUUUCCAGCUUCAGAUGCUGGGUGUAUGAGCGAGCUAGCUGGACCACAUUACACAUGUCUCGAGCACAGAACGCCCGAUGUAACAAGAAACAGGAAGCUCUGGACUAUCAGAUGGCUGGCACGGGGCUGAUGCUGGAAAUGAUCGAGAAUGAAAGACUCUUUGAUAAUUGUCCGCAGCGCUUCGACUCCGGAGUGAAUCCUUACAAGCUGCCCAACACUAUCUGGGUGUUGAACACUGCUGCUGGAGUCAGGGUCAGCCAUUGGAUUUACUCGCUGACCUUGGCAGUGAUCUGUUUACUGGUGCUCAGAUAAUACUGGUACCCAUCGUUAUUAUGGAUGUAUGUGUGUGUCUACGGAGUAAUAUUAGUCCAAUGUUUAACCAAGUGAAUGUACCAGAAUGUGAACUUGUAUAACAGAUAUCUGGGGAGUGAAUGUUUGAGAAGUAUGUGUGUUUAAGUGUGUGAGAGAGUGUGCAAGCCAGUGCAUCAUAUUUAAUAAUACAUGUACAGUGUGUGUACGUAGAUCAGAUCCCAGCCAUUUUAUGUCCUAUAUGUAUUUGCAUAUCAUUUUUAAAUAUUUCUAAUCACUAUGUAUAUAUGGAGAGUAAUGCUUAUGAUCAAUACGUUUUAGUGAAAUAAUGAAUUCAAAAGACAGGUCUAACUUUUAACAAUGUGGAAAUAAAACUUGUACAUUCCAUAUUUCUUUAUUCCAUUUGCACCAACUAACAUAUCGUAUAAACAUAUCAAGUUUAUUAGAGAAUUAGUACAUUUACAUCCUAGCAAUUCUUUGGUUGUGUAUCCCAUUAUCUGAUGGAGAUGUUUGUUUUUCAUUAGUGCCAUUUGUGAUGUGAUUUUUUGGGAUUCUUACACAAUAUUAUCUUGUACAUGUGCAGCAAAUUAUGUCAAUGAGAUAACUAAAUUUUCUGAGAGACAUAAAACAUUCAAAAGGUUGUUACAACUGUAAUAUUACAACAGCAAUACUGUAAUAUUGUUGAAGGACCUUGUGGAACUGUUUGUGUGAGGCAAUGUCAGUUUAUAAACUUCAUUCCAUUAUUAUGAUUAUUAUUACGUGUGAUAUCAACAUUUUUGUACAUGUAUUUGUAAAUAGUCUUUGUCUAUUUUUACCUGAUUAUUCCUUGUAUGUAUAUUUUUGUACAUGUAUAUCAUUCCAUUAACAUUUAUUAAUACAUUGUAUGCAACUUUUUAGCAAGAAAUUCAGAUGAAGGAAUGUUUUAUAUGGUUUACAAAUAAAUUCCAAC
rnacentral:misc_RNA from 1 species